rnacentral:rRNA from 1 species
CAAAAUGAGAGUUUGAUCCUGGCUCAGGACGAACGCUGGCGGCGUGCCUAAUACAUGCAAGUCGAGCGAGCAGAACCAGCAGAUUUACUUCGGUAAUGACGCUGGGGACGCGAGCGGCGGAUGGGUGAGUAACACGUGGGGAACCUGCCCCAUAGUCUAGGAUACCACUUGGAAACAGGUGCUAAUACCGGAUAAUAAAGCAGAUCGCAUGAUCAGCUUAUAAAAGGCGGCGUAAGCUGUCGCUAUGGGAUGGCCCCGCGGUGCAUUAGCUAGUUGGUAAGGUAACGGCUUACCAAGGCAAUGAUGCAUAGCCGAGUUGAGAGACUGAACGGCCACAUUGGGACUGAGACACGGCCCAAACUCCUACGGGAGGCAGCAGUAGGGAAUCUUCCACAAUGGACGCAAGUCUGAUGGAGCAACGCCGCGUGAGUGAAGAAGGUUUUCGGAUCGUAAAGCUCUGUUGUUGGUGAAGAAGGAUAGAGGUAGUAACUGGCCUUUAUUUGACGGUAAUCAACCAGAAAGUCACGGCUAACUACGUGCCAGCAGCCGCGGUAAUACGUAGGUGGCAAGCGUUGUCUGGAUUUAUUGGGCGUAAAGCGAGCGCAGGCGGAAGAAUAAGUCUGAUGUGAAAGUCCCUCGGCUUAACCGAGGAAUUGCAUCGGAAACUGUUUUUCUUGAGUGCAGAAGAGGAGAGUGGAACUCCAUGUGUAGCGGUGGAAUGCGUAGAUAUAUGGAAGAACACCAGUGGCGAAGGCGGCUCUCUGGUCUGCAACUGACGCUGAGGCUCGAAAGCAUGGGUAGCGAACAGGAUUAGAUACCCUGGUAGUCCAUGCCGUAAACGAUGAGUGCUAAGUGUUGGGAGGUUUCCGCCUCUCAGUGCUGCAGCUAACGCAUUAAGCACUCCGCCUGGGGAGUACGACCGCAAGGUUGAAACUCAAAGGAAUUGACGGGGGGCCCGCACAAGCGGUGGAGCAUGUGGUUUAAUUCGAAGCAACGCGAAGAACCUUACCAGGUCUUGACAUCUAGUGCCAUCCUAAGAGAUUAGGAGUUCCCUUCGGGGACGCUGAGACAGGUGGUGCAUGGCUGUCGUCAGCUCGUGUCGUGAGAUGUUGGGUUAAGUCCCGCAACGAGCGCAACCCUUAUUAUUAGUUGCCAGCAUUAAGUUGGGCACUCUAAUGAGACUGCCGGUGACAAACCGGAGGAAGGUGGGGAUGACGUCAAGUCAUCAUGCCCCUUAUGACCUGGGCUACACACGUGCUACAAUGGGCAGUACAACGAGAAGCGAGCCUGCGAAGGCAAGCGAAUCUCUGAAAGCUGUUCUCAGUUCGGACUGCAGUCUGCAACUCGACUGCACGAAGCUGGAAUCGCUAGUAAUCGCGGAUCAGAACGCCGCGGUGAAUACGUUCCCGGGCCUUGUACACACCGCCCGUCACACCAUGGAAGUCUGCAAUGCCCAAAGCCGGUGGCCUAACCUUCGGGAAGGAGCCGUCUAAGGCAGGGCAGAUGACUGGGGUGAAGUCGUAACAAGGUAGCCGUAGGAGAACCUGCGGCUGGAUCACCUCCUUU